rnacentral:rRNA from 1 species
UACGAAGGUGGCAAGCGUUGUUCGGAUUUACUGGGCGUACAGGGAGCGUAGGCGGUUGGGUAAGCCCUCCGUGAAAUCUCCGGGCCUAACCCGGAAAGUGCGGAGGGGACUGCUCGGCUAGAGGAUGGGAGAGGAGCGCGGAAUUCCCGGUGUAGCGGUGAAAUGCGUAGAUAUCUGGAGGAACACCGGUGGCGAAGGCGGCAUCCUGGACCGGCAUUGACGCUGAGGAGCGAAAGCCAGGGGAGCAAACGGG